rnacentral:rRNA from 1 species
UACGGGGGGGGGUAAGCGUUGUUCGGAAUUACUGGGCGUAAAGGGCUCGUAGGCGGCCAACUAGGUCAUACGUGAAAUCCCUCGGCUUAACCGGGGAACUGCGUCUGAUACUGGAUGGCUUGAGAUUGGGAGAGGGAUGCGGAAUUCCAGGUGUAGCGGUGAAAUGCGCAGAUAUCAGGAAGAACACCUAUGGCGAAGGCAGCUCUCUGGGACGGUACUGACGCUGAGACGCGAAAAGCGUGGGGAGCGAACAGG